rnacentral:rRNA from 1 species
UACGAAGGGGGCUAGCGUUGCUCGGAUUGACUGGGCGUAAAGGGCGCGUAGGCGGAUAGUACAGUCAGGCGUGAAAUUCCUGGGCUCAACCUGGGGGCUGCGUUUGAUACGUAUUGUCUGGAGUUCGGAAGAGGGUCGUGGAAUUCCCAGUGUAGAGGUGAAAUUCGUAGAUAUCGGGAGGAACACCAGUGGCGAAGGCGGCGACCUGGGCCAAUAUUGACGCUGAGGUGCGAAAGCGUGGGGAGCAAACAGG